GAAUAUUGGACAAUGGGCGAAAGCCUGAUCCAGCCAUGCCGCGUGUGUGAAGAAGGUCCUCGGAUUGUAAAGCACUUUAAGAUGGGAGGAAGGGCAGUAAGCGAAUACCUUGCUGAUUUGACGUUACCGACAGAAUAAGCACCGGGUAACUCGAGGCCGGCAGCCGCGGUAAAACAGAGGGUGCAAGCGUUAAGUGGAAUUACUGGGCGUAGAGCGCGCGUAGGUUGUUCGUUAAGUUGGAUGUGAAAUCCCCGGGCUCAACCUGGGAACUGCAUCCAAAACUGGCGAGCUAGAGUAGGGCAGAGGGUGGUGGAAUUUCCUGUGUAGCGGUGAAAUGCGUAGAUAUAGGAAGGAACACCAGUGGCGAAGGCGACCACCUGGGCUCAUACUGACACUGAGGUGCGAAAGCGUGGGGAGCAAACAGG
rnacentral:rRNA from 1 species